rnacentral:rRNA from 1 species
AAUAACUGGUGAAGAAAGGGCCGGGCAAGACCGGUGCCAGCCGCCGCGGUAAUACCGGCGGCUCGAGUGGUGGCCACUAUUACUGGGCUUAAAGCGUCCGUAGCUGGAUUGUUAAGUCUCUUGGGAAAUCCACCGGCUCAACCGAUGGGCGUUCAGGAGAAACUGGCAAUCUAGGGACCGGGAGAGGUGAGAGGUACUCCAGGGGUAGGAGUGAAAUCCUGUAAUCCUUGGGGGACCACCUGUGGCGAAGGCGUCUCACUAGAACGGCUCCGACAGUGAGGGACGAAAGCUGGGGGAGCAAACCGGAUUAGAUACCCGGGUAGUCCCAGCUGUAAACGAUGCGCGUUAGGUGUAUCGGUGACCACGAGUCAUCGAGGUGCCGAAGGGAAACCGUGAAACGUGC